GUGAGGAAUAUUGGACAAUGGGCGCAAGCCUGAUCCAGCCAUGCCGCGUGCAGGAAGACGCAUCUAUGGUGUGUAAACUGCUUUUGUACGGGAAGAAACACUCCCUCGUGAGGGAGCUUGACGGUACCGUAAGAAUAAGGAUCGGCUAACUCCGUGCCAGCAGCCGCGGUAAUACGGAGGAUCCAAGCGUUAUCCGGAAUCAUUGGGUUUAAAGGGUCCGUAGGCGGUUGAAUAAGUCAGUGGUGAAAGCCCAUCGCUCAACGAUGGAACGGCCAUUGAUACUGUUAGACUUGAAUUACAAGGAAGUAACUAGAAUAUGUAGUGUAGCGGUGAAAUGCUUAGAUAUUACAUGGAAUACCAAUUGCGAAGGCAGGUUACUACUUGUGGAUUGACGCUGAUGGACGAAAGCGUGGGGAGCGAACAGGAUUAGAAACCCUUGUAGUCC
rnacentral:rRNA from 1 species